UGGGGAAUCUUGGACAAUGGGCGCAAGCCUGAUCCAGCCAUGCCGCGUGAGUGAAGAAGGCCUUCGGGUUGUAAAGCUCUUUUACCAGGGACGAUAAUGACGGUACCUGGAGAAUAAGCCCCGGCAAACUUCGUACCAGCAGCCGCGGUAAUACGAAGGGGGCUAGCGUUGUUCGGAAUUACUGGGCGUAAAGCGCACGUAGGCGGAUUGUUAAGUCAGAGGUGAAAUCCCGGAGCUCAACUUCGGAACUGCCUUUGAUACUGGCAAUCUAGAGUCCGGAAGAGGUUAGUGGAAUUUCCAGUGUAGAGGUGAAAUUCGUAGAUAUUGGGAAGAACACCAGUGGCGAAGGCGGCUAACUGGUCCGGUACUGACGCUGAGGUGCGAAAGCGUGGGGAGCAAACAGGAUUAGAUACCCAUGUAGUCCCUGAGCGGGCUGGCAAGGCGCAU
rnacentral:rRNA from 1 species